rnacentral:rRNA from 1 species
CACGUAGGGCGCAAGCGUUGUCCGGAAUUAUUGGGCGUAAAGAGCUCGUAGGCGGUUGGGCAAGUCACGUGUGAAAUCUCCACGCUCAACGUGGAGGCGCCACGUGAGACUGCCCUGACUCGAGUCCGGUAGGGGAGCGUGGAAUUCCCGGUGUAGCGGUGAAAUGCGCAGAGAUCGGGAGGAACACCCGUAGCGAAGGCGGCUCUCUGGGACGGUACUGACGCUGAGAGGCGAAAGCGUGGGGAGCGAACAGG